rnacentral:rRNA from 1 species
GACGAACGUUGGCGGCGUGCUUAAUACAUGCAAGUCAACUGAAGCAGUGAUAGCAAUAUCGCUGUGGAGGUGGCGCACGGGUGAGUAACACGUAGGUAAUCUGCCUUCAGGUCUGGCAUAACUCCGGGAAACCGGGGCUAAUAGCAGAUGAUGCAGCGGCUCGACAUCGAGACAGUUGUUAAAGCUAUGGCGCCUGAAGAUGAGCCUGCGUCUGAUUAGCUAGUUGGCGGGGUAACGGCCCACCAAGGCAACGAUCAGUAGCUGGUCUGAGAGGAUGAUCAGCCACACUGGAACUGAGACACGGUCCAGACUCCUACGGGAGGCAGCAGUAAGGAAUAUUGCUCAAUGGGAGAAAUCCUGAAGCAGCAACGCCGCGUGAGGGACGAAGGGCUUUUGCUUGUAAACCUCUGUAGUGAGAGAAAAAAAUCCCAAUCUUUGGGACAUGAUGGUAUCUCAAAAGUAAGCCCCGGCUAACUACGUG